GACGAACGCUGGCGGCGUGCCUAAUACAUGCAAGUAGAACGCUGAAGAGAGGAGCUUACUCUUCUUGGAUGAGUUGCGAACGGGUGAGUAACGCGUAGGUAACCUGCCUUGUAGCGGGGGAUAACUAUUGGAAACGAUAGCUAAUACCGCAUAACAAUGGAUGACACAUGUCAUUUAUUUGAAAGGGGCAAUUGCUCCACUACAAGAUGGACCUGGGUUGUAUUAGCUAGUAGGUGAGGUAAUGGCUCACCUAGGCGACGAUACAUAGCCGACCUGAGAGGGUGAUCGGCCACACUGGGACUGAGACACGGCCCAGACUCCUACGGGAGGCAGCAGUAGGGAAUCUUCGGCAAUGGGGGCAACCCUGACCGAGCAACGCCGCGUGAGUGAAGAAGGUUUUCGGAUCGUAAAGCUCUGUUGUAAGUCAAGAACGGGUGUGAGAGUGGAAAGUUCACACUGUGACGGUAGCUUACCAGAAAGGGACGGCUAACUACGUG
rnacentral:rRNA from 1 species